rnacentral:rRNA from 1 species
AGUGAACGCUGGCGGCAGGCCUAACACAUGCAAGUCGAACGGCAGCACAGUAAGAGUUUGCUCUUACGGGUGGCGAGUGGCGGACGGGUGAGGAAUACAUCGGAAUCUACUAUUUCGUGGGGGAUAACGUAGGAAAACUUACGCUAAUACCGCAUACGACCUACGGGUGAAAGCAGGGGAUCUUCGGACCUUGCGCUCUUGAAUGAGCCGAUGUCGGAUUAGCUAGUAGGGGGGGUAAAGGCCCACCAAGGCGACGAUCCGUAGCUGGUCUGAGAGGAUGAUCAGCCACACUGGAACUGAGACACGGUCCAGACUCCUACGGGAGGCAGCAGUGGGGAAUAUUGCACAAUGGGCGCAAGCCUGAUCCAGCCAUGCCGCGUGGGUGAAGAAGGCCUUCGGGUUGUAAAGCCCUUUUGUUGGGAAAGAAAGGCAGAAAGUUAAUACCCCGACGCUUUGACGGUACCCAAAGAAGAAGCACCGGCUAACUUCGUG